rnacentral:rRNA from 1 species
AGAGUUUGAUCCUGGCUCAGAUUGAACGCUGGCGGCAUGCCUAACACAUGCAAGUCGAACGGUAACGACGGGAGCUUGCUCCCGGGCGACGAGUGGCGGACGGGUGAGUAAUACUUAGGAAUCUGCCCAGUAGUGGGGGACAACUCGAGGAAACUCGAGCUAAUACCGCAUACGCCCUACGGGGGAAAGUGGAGGAUCUUCGGACUUCACGCUAUUGGAUGAGCCUAAGUCAGAUUAGCUUGUUGGUAGGGUAACGGCCUACCAAGGCGACGAUCUGUAGCUGGUCUGAGAGGACGAUCAGCCACACUGGGACUGAGACACGGCCCAGACUCCUACGGGAGGCAGCAGUGGGGAAUAUUGGACAAUGGGGGCAACCCUGAUCCAGCAAUGCCGCGUGUGUGAAGAAG